rnacentral:lncRNA from 10 species
GCUGUAGACCGGAGCUGUUCCUAUUCGGCCAUCUUGGCUCUCCCUUAGUCUAGAUUGCAGCUAAUCUUCCCCUUACAUGACACCUACAAGUUAAACAAACUGCAACUAGGAAGAUCGUGAUCAUUUGACUAGGACCUGGAUUGUUUGAGAGAGGCAGUCUAAAAUUCUUGGAAUGAAAUUCUCAGAUUAGAACGCAUCAGACCUCUCUUAGUUCUCAUGGAGUAUGUAGAGGCCAUGAUGAACUGAAGAUUUCUCUCUGGUGUGGAUAUGUUUUCUCUUUUACCUCUGAACUUCUACAUCAAGACUUCGUGUGAAUGAGCUCUGCUUUUGAGGAUUCAUGACUCUUUUCCUCCAUGAUUUGAAAAUGUAUAUUCAAAAGAUUAAAAGAUGGAGCUGGCCGAGUGAGGUGGCUCAUGCCUGUAAUCCCAGCACUGUGGGAGGCCGAAGCAGGUGGAUCACUUGAGGUCAGCAGUUCAAGACCACCCUGGCCAACAUGGUGAAACCCUGCCUCUACUAAAAAUACAGAAAUUAGCCAAGUGCAAUGGCAGGCACCUGUAAUCCCAGCUACUCGGGAAGCUGAGGAUGGAGAAUCACUUGAACCCUGGAGGCAGAGGUUGCAGUGAACUGAGAUCACACCACAGCACUCCAGUCUGGGUGACUCAGUCUUGAAAAAUGAAAUGAAAUAAAAUAAAAUAAAAGAUAGAGCUGGAGUUUUGCUGGUUACUAUUAUUUAAUCAGAGGACAUAUCACCCUCCUCACAAAGGUGAGAAUCACACAGUCCCAGGAGGUUGUUUGGGCACCAGCUACAGGCCCACAGUCACCGUCAGCAAAAUCAAAUGUGUGUGUUACACACAGACGUCUCAUCUCCAUGGGCUUAUAGACACCAGGCUAGGCAACUAAAAGGGAAAAGUAUUUUUUAUUUUUAUUUUGUUUCUUCCAAGUUAAAGCAUGCUUUUCCUGUUUAUAAAACUUCUGUUUUUGGAAACACUUCUCACUGUACUUUACCAUGAGCAAGGUAAGAUAAGUUUUAUAAGUAGGAAAGCAUGCUUUUAUUUUUGUUUUUAUUUUAUACAAGUAAAGAAGAAAAUAAAAGCAAAACAAAAAUUUAUCUCUCUCAAGUGUCUACUCUCAAUGUUUUGUGCUUGCCACACCCCAUAGUCUAUACACAUACAUACUUACAAAGAGGAUUGUUCACCUGUGGGCUUGUUUAACAUACAUUUAUUUUAUAAUGUAUCAUAUAUAUCUUUUCAUAAUUUUUAAAAAAUUAUCUCUUCACUAUAAUGACUACAUAUGUUUGCAUUCUGGGGUGUUAAUUUAAUUUAAUUAGCAAAUCAUUUAUCAAUGCAUAUUUACUGUGACUAUGAUUGUUUAUAUUUUAACUAAUGUUGUGAUGACAUUCUUGUGUAUAUUUUGUUGCAAUACAUUUCCCAAAGGACAAUUUUUCAGCCUUAGGUUUUUCACAUUUCAUAUCUCUGAGACUGUGCUCCAUAAAGCUAUAUGGAUUUGGAUCCCCGUUAGAGACGUGUCUACACUCAUUUCUGAUAAAUGCACACAGGUAUCUCCAGGACUUAUGCCCUGCCCAGAAUACACUGGUUUUCUAUAAAUACUGUUGAAUGAAUAAAUGUAUCUUUAACAUUACCAUGGUGUUUUUUAACCUCUGUCAACAUGAGAAGCAAAACCUACCUCCUUGUUUUAAUUUACAUUUGUUUAAUUGCCUGUGAGGCCCAACAUCUUUUCAUAAAUGCCUGGCUAAUUUGUGUAUUUAUUUUUCCUCUUGUGAACUGCCUACUCAUUUUCUUUUGAUGUUAUUGAUGUGUAGGAUUCUCCUUGUUGACUUGUAAGAAUAAUUUAGAAACUAGUGAGUAAAUCUUUGUUUUGUGUGUCAAUUUUUUUUCAAUUAUUUGCUUGUCUUUUAUUGUUUGGUUGCUUUUACCUUAGGUAAAAAGGUAAGUGUUAUGUCUUUCUCCAGGUUUAAUUUAUUUAUUUUUUUGGAGGAGGGAUAUUCUGGGUCUUUACUACAUAACCCACCUCUACUCCAAAAGCAUAAUUUUUCACUAUUUUUAUAAACAUUAAUAUAUGUCCCAAACAUAAUUUUUGUCCUCAUUUUUUUAGAACACAGAACAACACACAGUUUUAGAACAUAAAGCAUAAAAUUUUUGAGUGUAUUAGUCUGUUCUCAUGCUGCUUAUAAAGACAUACCCAAGACUGGGUAAUUUAUAAAGAAAAGAGGUUUAAUGGACUCACAGUUCCACAUGGCUGGGGGAGCCUCACAAUCAUGGCAGAAGACGAAUGCGGAGCAGAGUCACAUCUUACAUGGCUGCAGGCAAUAGAGAUUGUGUAGGGGAACUGCCCUUUAUAAAACCAUCAGAUCUCGUGAGACUUAUUCACUAUCAAGAGAACAGCAGGGAAAAGACCUGCCCCAUGAUUCAAUUACCUCCCACUGGGUCCCUCCCACAACAUGUGGGGAUUAUGGGAGCUACAAUUCAAGAUGAAGUUUUGGGGGGGACACAGCCAGACCACAUCAAAGGGUCUUCAUUUGAAUUGUUUUCCACAUGAGGAUGAGAAGAUUUCUAUUUUUUUAAUUUAAAUACUAGUCAGCUGAGUAUUUUUUACUCAGUAUCAUUUACUGAAAACCUAACUUUUCCCCAGAGUUGAAAGGACAUCUCUGUUAAAUAUGAGAUUUGCAUAUAAAACUGGAUAAAGCUUAAACUCUGAAUUCUCUUCUUCUUAUCCCCCCAUCUAUUGCUAGGCCUGUAACAUACCCUACCAUUUGAAUUAUUUACCUUUCAAGUGCAUUUUAUGUUUUCUUAAUUUAUAUGGUCCUCUUUAUGCUUCCUUGCAUAAUUCCCACUCCCAUUUUUGUAUAUUUAUUUUCUGGAUAAGCUUUAGAAUAAUUGCUGUUGUGUUUUAAAAUAUUGGUGGAACUUUAUUAAGAUGCUAUUGAAUAUAUGAAUUAAAUUGGGAAGACUUGUCAUCUUAAUGAAAUAGAAUCUUCCCAUCUAAGAAGCAGGUAUGAUUUUCAAUAUUUCAUCAUAUGUUUAUACAUACAACAUGGCUUUUAAAUUUCAUUUCAGGAAAGUAUAGAAAUAUGGGCUGACUUGCUAUCAUUUUUUUUUUUUUUGAGAUGGAGUUUCAUUCUUGUUGCCCAAGCUGGAGUGUAAUGGCGUGAUCUUGGCUCACUGCAACCUCGGCCUCCCAGGUUCAAGCAAUUCUCCUGCUUCAGCCUUCUGAGUAGCUAGGAUUACAGGCAUGCGCCACCACAGAUGACUAAUUUUGUAUUUUUAGUAGAGACAGGGUUUCUCCAUGUUGGUCAGGCUGGUCUCGAACUCCCAACCUCAGGUGAUCCACCCGCCUUGGCCUCCCAAAAUGCUGGGAUUAUAGCCAUGAGCCACCGCGCCCGGCCCAAGAGUUGCUAUCUUAAUGAAAUAUAACCUUCCCAUCUAAGAAGCAGGUAUGAUUUUCAAUAUUUCAUCGUAUGUUUGUAUAUACAAUGUGACUUUUAAAUUUCAUUUCAAAAAAGUGUAGAAAUAUUAAAAAUGAUAUAUAAAUAAAUAGCAAUUGAAGGUCAUUCAGCUCUCCAGGCAUUCUGCUCAGUAAACAGCCUCUGUGUACCUUCUGAAACAUUGCAUUGCAAUGUUGAAUGAAGGGCUCAGAUAAUCUCAACAUUUGUCUCCAAAAUAUUCCUUUUUAAAUCCGUCAUGCAUGGAUUUACGGAAUGAAUCACUCACAGCCUUUGCUGGUCCUGAAGGUCUGGAGCCCUCACCAUGUCUUGGGGAGAAUGGAGUUUCACCUCCCAAAUGCCUGCUGUCAUGGGGGAGCUGCUCCUCAUUUAGUGGAAAACAGGUCUUUCCCACCUCCAGGGCUGCCUUUGCCUUCACCAUUCCCUUAUUCUUUUACUUCUUGGCUUGGUCAUUGUGUAAGCUUUGAUUAUAUCAUUGUUCAGUGUUUAAAUUUAAUAGGAAAGGUUUCUAAUAUCUUUAGCCUGGUCUCAGACAUAGCCUCAACUUUCUGAUUCUCUGGUGGAACUGCAGUUUUAUGAGCCAGGUACUGCCACUGUCUCUCAUUCACAACGGAAGGCUUGAGGCUGAGUGGAACGAAUAUGGUCAUACCACUUAAGAAGUGGAGCCAGGAAGCAAGCCCCAUCAGCAGGACCCAGGAGUCAAUAUGUUCUGCAUUGCUGAAGUUGAGAGCAAUAUUGUGCCCAUCUCUGAAACAGAGAUAAAAUAAUGCUACAGUUGGAUCAGAAAAGAAAAAUGAAAAAAAUAAAAGCUUUGAGGAAGAACUUUGAUGGAAGAAACUAUUUCCAUGACCCUUUUCCUCUCUGUCUACAAUGGCAUCACCUUCUUGGUGAAGGGACAUUGAGAUGCUACGGCUGAGAAUGCAGAGUGAAGAGCCCUUGGAGGCCCUACCAGCUGCUACCAGCCUCCUGUCUUCCCUGCCUGGGUCCAUGGCUGGCCUGCCCUGGCAUCCAUGUGGCUUCUGGACUGAGUUCCAGCUGGUGAGAUGCGAGGGGAAGCUGCACCUGCUGCACCCAGACCUGGCUCAUACAACCUUGCACAGGCGACCUCGGGGGGUUUUCCUUCUGUGGACGGACAGCCCAACAAGCUUGGAGCCCAUAAGCUGAGGGUGAAGAGUCUCUGAAUUGCUGCUUGGAGAACAGCCUGCUGCCAGCUAGGAUUGCCUGGUUUGGAUUUUAUCUGAGAGAGAAAUAAACUGCUUUUAUUGUGUUGGACCCAUUGGGCAUUUUGAGCUGAUCAACUAAUAUUACUAACUCCUUUAGUUAUAUGUCCUUCCUUUUAAAAGGUCUAUGAAAGAUGAUUUAAAAAUACAUUCAUGUUGCAUGUUAAAGUAUAUUUCAAAUAAUUGAGAAACUCUAAGUAGGAUAAGAAUAAAGUUAGGAAAUGAGGAUGGAGCCAGGAAUGAAGCUGUUCUGAAAUGGGGGGAACAUGAAGCCCCAUUCUCUGGCUUAGGGGACAAGUUUGAAUCCAAACUAGAAACGGAGGACAGGAAAAGGGAAAUAGAAUCAAUGGCAGAAGAAAAACACAAGUAGAAAUAAUAUCAGUGAUGGCAUUGCAUCUGUCAUCUGGACUGAAGCAUUUAUUUACUGUGAGAAACCCUUUAGGAAUCUAUUUUCAUCCUUUUAUGUAGAUAAAGACAUCGAUAUAGUUGACAUCAAUACAGAUCAAACAUAGACAGUGAUCUAGUUAUAGACACAGACCUAGACUUAGACAUGGGUUUAGAUACAGCUUAGAAAUGCCUUUAUUUCCCACUCUCCUCUCAGCCUCCACCGGUGUGUGAAAUUGUCCAAUCAGAGUCUCCUUUUGAGUCAUCCAUGGACGACUACUCAUUAGCUAACUCAUCUGGCCUCUUUCUUCCUCUAACCUUUUCUUCCCUUUUCUCUGUGCCUCUUCGCCUGCCCCAACUUAGUCCUGAGCAUCUGUGACCUCCUGCUCACUGUGCAUGCCUGCAGCUCUGACUCCUGUCCCGCAAAGUUUCUUGUUCUUCAAAUCUUAUUCUGGGUCACUCCUGUUUUUCUCAAGGAUGCCUGUGGCUUUAUCUCCCUUUCCUUAAUGAUGCACCUCAAACCUCCGUCUCCCCCUGAAAUGCCUCCUCAUUUACCUAACAGGCUGGUGACUGUCCCCUCUGGUGCCUGACCUAGGAAACUGACACAUCUCACAUUCGGAACAAAGGCUGUGCCCUCCUCGACAGUCCUCUACCUGGGGUCUCACUGCAUUGCCAUUGUUUCAGGGCUGCUUCCCAAGCCAGAGAAGUAGCAGCCAUCCUGGAUCGAUUCCUUCCUCUCCCCACAGAUUCCAUCAGUCCACAGUGCUGCUGACUUUGCUUUCUGCACGUUUCUUAGAUUUCCCACUUCUCGCCAUCACCACCCUGGGAGCCACUUGCAAAGUACUGGCCUGGUCACCAUCGCCUCUCGCCAGCUUACAGCAGGUGUCCCCUAUCCAGCCCACCUUCCUCCAGUCUUGCUCCAGUUCAGUAACUUAUUCUAGCAUCUUUAGUAAGUCAUGUGCUGGGGCUGACGUGCCUCUACAUGGCUCCUCCUUCUUGUCUUCCUCUCCUUUGCUAGCAUUACUGACAUAGCCUGCAUGUCCCUUUGUGCCAGGAACCGUUUAAGGUGAUUUUCUGCUAUUAUCCCAUUUAAUCCUCAAUAUAGCUCUCUGAAGAAGGUAGCCUAGUCACCCUCCUAGGAUGGCGAGGCAACCAAGACUGUGUAGUGCCUUCCCCUUGCACGCAUAAGGUCACCUGCACAUUGUUCUCUGCUUGUGGCAUUAUUUCCUCCAGCUUCACAGGGAGAAUCUCAACCCAUCUUUCAUCCCUAAUUAUGGACACCAUCUGCUCAACAAAGGCAUAUGGUGCUCCUCCAUCUGCCCAGAGAGUUGCUGAGCCUCUGUACAUCAACAGCCUUUAGCUGCCUCUACGCCGUGAUUGGGAGGAAGCUCCCUGAGGACAGGGCCAUAUCUGACAUUUCCUCAGUUACAUUUUCCACACUGAGCAUAAUAUGGUCACAUAGGGGGCACUUAUUAAAUACUUCCCUAAAACAUGAGUAAACAUGACAUCAAAAAGGUAUCACUCACUGCAAGGAAAAUAUAGCUUAUGACAUUUUACAAAUGUAUGAAAAUUUAAAUGUAUUUUUUGUUCAUGAAUAGUCACUGUGGUGCACGUAAUAUAUUUAACCAGGAGUAUGUGGCUUAGUGAGUUAAUGCAAGUGAGAAAUAUGUACCCACAUGAAACACCUCAUAUAUGAAGUUUUUUUUUUUUUUGACAGAGUUUUGCUCGGUCACUCACGGCAACCUCCGCCUCCUGGGUUCAAGCAGUUCUCCUGCCUCAGUCUCCCGAGUAGCUGGGACUCUACAGGCAUCCCCCAUCAGAUGUUGUUCUGUUGGGUUUCAUUUAACCAGUCUCAACAAAUGAUACAGAAUAUUUCCUAAAGAACUUAUAAUCCAAUAAAUGACUUUUUGAUGCCUCAUGGAGAAAAUUGGCUUUGAGACCACACUUCUUCCCACUUCUUCAAUAUAAAAGAAAAACAAGUUCUUAUUAACACAAUUUUGGACACUCAAGCACAUUCUAUGGUUCUGUAUUGGUGAUGAAAACUGCCUAUGAGCGACUACCAACCUCUUUUAUGCUGCCUAUUUUUGGAGAUGUCCAAAUUUAAGAUUAAGGAUUCUGGAAAUUUGUUUCACAUAUUCUCUUUCUCUUUCUCUCAAGGUUAGGGUACCCAGUGUCUUCCAAACUAAAGUAUUGUAAUAUUACCCUGCCACCUAGGGGUAUUGCCAAAGAAAUUUAUGCAUGUAUAUAGACAUUUAGUGUAUUGGUCAAAAUGUGACAAUUAUGUUAUUAAAGUAUGUAAUUAACAGUCACAAUUGUGUUUUUGUAUUUUGUUUUCUCUUUCAUAAUAGUCUUUGUUCUUGAAACCAAAUGAGAAUGGU